rnacentral:rRNA from 1 species
AGUGAACGCUGGCGGUAGGCCUAACACAUGCAAGUCGAACGGACGUAGCAAUACGUUAGUGGCGCACGGGAGAGUAACGCGUGGGAACCUACCUUUUGGUUCGGGAUAACAUCGGGAAAAUGGUGCUAAUACCGGAUAAGCCCUUCGGGGGCAAGAUUUAUUGCCGAAGGAUGGGCCCGCGUUGGAUUAGCUAUUUGGUGAGGUAAUGGCUCACUAAGGCAACGAUCCAUAGCUGGUCUGACAGGAUGAUCAGCCUCACUGGGACUGAGACACGGCCCAGACUCCUACGGGAGGCAGCAGUGGGGAAUAUUGGACAAUGGGGGAAACCCUGAUCCAGCCAUGCCGCGUGAAUGAUGAAGGCCUUCGGGUUGUAAAGUUCUUUUGGUGGUGACGAUGAUGACGGUACCCACAGAAUAAGCUCCGGCUAACUUCGUGCCAGCAGCCGCGGUAA